ensembl:lincRNA
AGGACUACCUCUACAAGGCCCUGUGUUUGUUCCCUGGCCAGUCCUGUGAGUGGCCAUCCCAGAGGGGCAGUGAGAAAAGAGGGCCUGUGCCUGGAGAUCUGAAGGUGGAACAGGAAAGACCUCGUGCCUUAACAUUUGUUCUACCCCCAAAUCAUUCUUUCCUUUGUAUUGUAGGAUUUUUUUUCUAUUGUUAGGAGUUCCCUCUUAAAAUGUAGCUCCCCACUCCAGUAAACUACAAGUACUAUAUAGCCCUGAGAUAAAAUUGCACAUGUUUUACUCAUUAGAAUAGAAUGGAAUCAAGUUUCUGUUCUGUUAGAAAUAGAAUAGAAUUCUGUGAAGGGGUACAAAUAUAAUGAUGGGCAUGUAGAAGUAUACUUAAUAAUAAAUAUUCAAAAAAAAGUAUGAAGUCCCUACUACUUAAAAGAAUCGUAGGAUGAGGUAACCCUAGCUACUUUGUCCUCUGAUUAAUGUUUUUAUAUGCUUAUGACAUGAACAUUUAUCUGUCGCAGUGGCACGGUAAGAGAGUUUUCUAAGUAGGAGAGUCACACCCCAGCUUUGUGGUUCAUUGACAGCGAGGGAUAAAGGACAGCACCCCUACCUUGAGCCUGAAACAAAGUCAUCAGCUCACACUUGCAGGAGAUGAUGAGUAGCCAGCAAGCGAGGGCCCAAGGGCUUGUUCGAAACAGGACACCCUACGGGGGGUGCAGUGCAGUGGACAGCGAGAGACAGGGAGCGGUUGCCUGGGAGAGUUUCGCAGGCCUGAGUGUCCCGUAGGCUGUCACUUCCUGCGGCCACCUCUGCCCGUGCUCACUUCCGUCUGUGCUCAUCUAGAAGGAGCCUCUUGUGCGCAGUCGCCGUGGACUAAGGGACAAGGGUGCGAGGAGCCUGCGGAGCCCCGUGUGUCAAAACCCCUGUGGGACUUGGCUGCUUCACACCUGGCACGUGGCAUGCCGUUGGUCUGGCUACUUGUGACCCAGCCCAAGAGACCUCUGAGGACACUAAGCUGCAGAAGAGAAGCUACAAACAAGAUCUGAGCGCGGAAGAGAUUUCCUAUCGUGGUCGGGCACCUCCCCUACCACUUUGCUUUCCUGUGCAGCUGUGUGUGUGCUGAAAAGAUUGAUGUGCAUUUCACCUUGAGAGCCUGUUUGCAAAUCACACGUACAAAUGUUCCUCUCAUGGUACGCGUGGUUGUGGGGUUGGUUGGAGGGGGGAAUUGUGUUAAUUACAUUUGAAUGGGGAAGCCGUGAUGAUUCACUAGUUCAGCCCCUGGUAGUUAAUUGUGUUACAGCCAGGGAAAAAUUCUGUUGGGGUCUAUGAGUAGCUGUGGUGCAAUUAGGCAGCGAGAAGGGUUUUGCCAGUAUGGUUGCUAUUGAUUAGUAUUUACUUUAAAAAGAGUAAAAGCGAUUCCCUUGAGCCAGAGCUGCCUAAUCUGUCAGUGGCCAGGCUGUGUGUUCCGGAGACACGUAGCAGGUUUGUCCAUAUAUUAUGAAGCCCCCCUCCAAAGAGAAUCCAGUAUAGAAAUCGUCUGAACUGGUUUUAAUGAUGCCCCAAUAAAAGGCAUAUACCACAGCCGCGAUCUCAUUAAAAGAGAAAAGUCUUUUUGUACAUUUGCUUAUUUAUUUAUGAAACACCUCUGAAAUAUUUAUAAAUGCUUCCCUGAUAUUUGUCUAAAAAUACAUGUUAGAGCUUCUUUGGUGGGAGAGGGAGGGAAAUAAAGGGUAGAAAUGCAAGUGGAGGAACGAGAGGGAAAUUCAGCCCCUUUUCUGUCUGCAGCAAGGACACGGAUGUGGCAAGGUAUAGGAAAGUGUCACUAGGGGGUGCCCCACGAACCUGUGCAGCACAGGUGACCUGACUCACUGGGAUCUCUUACAAAGGACAAAGCAGUGGCGAUCACAAGUGGUCUGUUUAAUUUUCCUGACAGAAACCGGGCAGAUGCAGGCGCUCCUUAGGCCUUGAUCACUUCCCUCCCUUUUAGAGCUCUUUAUUAAUUGAAAUAAUAGUUAUGGUACCCCUGGCCUCAGACCUACUUUCAUCUGUUUAGCAACUGCUUUCUCCAAAACACAAAAGAGCUCAGAGAUGACACUCCUCAUGUCUUAAUUAACCAUUGAAUACCUUAUAGAGCUGCUGUCACAACUCUUGUCACUUGAAAGCAAGCACAGUGGUCCCUGUUUUUUUAAAAAAACAAUAAAUCAACACAUACACCGGGGGAAAAAAGUUGAUCUAAUGAGCCGCCUUUGACGGGUUUUAGAACUGCAUUUUUUUAUCAUCCUACUUUGCACUCAUGCAGCAAUGCAAAUGAGGGACUCUAGCUGCUCCGGAGAAAACCAGGGAAUUUGCAUUUCUUCCCACCCUCUAGAAAGAGACAUUGGUUGCCCAGUGGCUGAGAAAAUGGUUUGCGAUCAGAGAUGAUAACAGAGCCCAACUGCACGUCAGUAAAAGGGAGGAGGUUCAGAAGUUGACUUAUGUAACGAAAGGAUUUCCAAGCCUUUCCAGCCCCUGGGCAUGAAAGAGUCUCCCUGAGACCCUAACCCUCACCUGCCAGUGUAAGUGGCACAGGCUCCUGGCCAGCUGAGCCCAACCUCACCAUCCCUUUGGCUCCAGGAAGGAUUUUACACGCGCAUGUGAACCAGUCUGGGCCUCCCCUGCCUGGAGCUCUGCGAUGCCAUCAGCCUGGCCUUGCCCACUCAAACCACACCGCCCCCGUUUCUCUCUCUGGGUUCCUGUGGACUGCUGCCUCUGCUAGGGCUGAUGACAAGGCCCUGCCACCAAC